AUUGAACGCUGGCGGCAGGCCUAACACAUGCAAGUCGAACGAGUGGCGGACGGGUGAGUAAUGUCUGGGAAAAUGCCUGAUGGAGGGGGAUAACUACUGGAAACGGUAGCUAAUACCGCAUACCCUCAGAUGUGCCCAGAUUGGAUUAGCUUGUUGGUGGGGUAACGGCUCACCAAGGCGACGAUCCCUAGCUGGUCAGAGAGGAUGACCAGCCACACGGGAACUUAGACACGGCCCAGACUCCUCCGGGAGGCAGAAGUGGGGAAUAUUGGACAUUGGGCGAAAGCCGGAUGCAGCCAUGCCGCGUGUAUGAAGAGGGCCUUCGGGUGGUAAAGUCCUUUCAGCGGGGAGGCGUUACCCGCAGAAGAAGCACCGGCUAACUCCGUGCCAGCAGCCGCGGUAAUAC
rnacentral:rRNA from 1 species